AUCCCAAUUGUUAUUACAUAUAAAAGUAUCCAAGGGUUUUCUAAUAUCUUCUUCUAUCUUCUCCGCCGAAAACUCUAUUUCUUCUGCUGAGAAAUGUUGGCCUUCACUGUGUUCAACUUGUUCUUAAUGUACUUGUUCUAUUUCCUCUGCUGAGAAAUGUUGGCCUUCACUGUGUUCAACUUGUUCUUAAUGUACUUGUUGUGGAUUAUGAAUAGAGUACUAUGGAUUGAAGCUGCUACUUUGUAUAUCAACUCCCAAAAGUCAGUGAUUCCCUUUCUCGUAUGCUUUUAUUUUGAUCUUCUCCGCCGUUAAUAGACUGUUUUAUUACUUCCAGUUGUGUUCUCCGGUGGAUGGGACGAUGCUCUUGUUUUUGUGAUGUGUUGAGGGUCUCAAGUUCCUGGAUGGAAUUCCAGAUCUAAGUAAGUUGCUUCGCCUCUCCUUCUUCAUUCUUUUAAGCUUCCAUACUUCUUUUCUUUGCUUAUGCUGAUCUUCGUUGUAGUUGCUACAGGCAUGGAGAUAGUGGAAUGCUCAGACCCAUAAGUAAUUGGACUGUAGUGCUCUAUCCAGGUGUUUCUGCUACUAUCUCACGUGACUCUUCCCUUUUGCUGCGAGUCCUUUUUGAUGGCUGACAUAGAUUAGGCUAGGAAACUUGUUUUCUCUUUUUGUUAGUUUCCUCAUUGUAAAUAUAUGCUUGUGUAUGAUCUACUCUGGACAAUGUGGCCUACUCAGCCUAUUUAUUCUCUUGUUGCUCGCACUCUUAUGUAUGGACAUUGUCACUUAUCACUGUUAAGGAUUUUUCUACCACUUACCUCUAAUUGCUGAAAAUUUGAAAUUGUGAAAUCCCCUUUGUCAAUGCUAAAUUAGUUAGAUGAUCAGCCAACUGAUUUCCCUCCCUCAUAAUGUGUUGAUACUGUACCUGCUUUCUAUUCAUUAUUUUCCAUAUCUUCUCCACAUAAUCUAUUACAUUCCAAGGAUAGUUCCAUUCUCUAAUUAAUACUUUUUGCAUCAGUAGGGAAUCAGUUUGAAUAAUCACUUUUUCUUUAUGUGUUUGAUCUGCAUGAAUUGCUGCUUGUAGAAUAGCGUAAGCCUCAGCUUUUACAUUAGAGGUAUCUUCCAUUUUAACUCCUUCUGCAUAAAUUAGGUCACCCUUCUCAUUCCUAGCACAAAAGGCAUAUGAGCUAAUCUCAGGGUUACAUCUAGAUGCACCAUCUGUAUUGUAUUUAACCCACCCAUUCUCUGGAAGCUUCCACAUCACUUUAGUAAACUUCAUCUUUGUUUUUCUCCCUUCUAGCUCAUUCAGUAUAUUUGGCCAGCUACCGGGAAAAACUUGUCUUGGAUUUCUUACCUUGAGUAACAAUCCCACAUUUCUGGUAAUAUUGAAUAGUACUUUAUGUAAAGACAAGUUCUUCCCAUCAUGCUUCAAACUAUUCCUUCUUUUCCAUAUUUCCCGAAUGAUUAUGCUUGGAAGGGACUGAAAAUAUAGUUUGACUCUCCUCUUGACUUCCUCAUUCCAUCAUGCAAGAACAGUUUCUCUGAAUGUUAAUCCCUGAAUUAGAAUACCUGCACAUGAAGCAAAGUAGGACCAAGUCUGGUUAGCUUAAAGAUGAUCUCAAAAACACAUAAGUAAUGGUUUCUUCAUCAGGAUAAGUGUAACACCAACAUCUAGUUGGCCCUUCUACUCCCCAUCUUCUCACAAGAGCAUCUACUGGAACCUUUCCUUUCCAUAUUCUCCACAUUAGAAAUGCCAUUUUGAAUGGUAAUCCCUUAACCUAUAUUUCUUUGUAUAAUUUGUUUUUUUCUUAACUCUGUCUAAUAUAAUGUCAUGCUAACUUAACUGUGAACUUGCCAGUAGUUUCCAAUAUCCAAAUAGGAAAACCUCUUUCUCCUGCAACAAUUUUAGGCCUCAACUUAGUUAAAAUGUGAUUGACAACUUCUUGAGGUAGUACUUGCUUCAUCAACUGCUCAUUCGGUUACCCUUCUGUGAUUAAAUCUUUUUCCAGUUGAACUCUGUCAUUAUAGUCCCUGCUGUUCUGCAGUAUAUUAUAUAAAUCACCAAUUGUAGUCCAGUUAUCAAACCAUAUACUAGAAUCUUCACUUUUGAUCUUCCAUAGAAUUUGGUGCUCCACUGAUCCCCAGCCUGCAAUAUUUUCUUCCAAACCUGAGAUCCAGCUCCUGUUUUCCAUACUAUCUCAUUAGGAUGAUGUUUUCUACAGUAUUUGUUAUGCAUGAACCUACUCCAGAUAGAGUCUUUA
rnacentral:lncRNA from 1 species